rnacentral:misc_RNA from 1 species
UAAAACGCCUGAAAGUAUGCAAUCAUUCAUACGUCGAUCUGUGAGUUUAGUUCUCUUUUAAAUACAUAGAUGGUGGUAGCAGUAUAGUUAAAGAAUCGUGUUGCAGAUGACACUGUUCAAAACAUAUGGAAUAAUAGUAUUCGUGCUUGUACAAAUUUUGCCACGUCUAAAACAUUUAUUUAUUUAACAAAAUGAGUUCUUGGUUGCAAUAUAUAAGGUCUAUACCUACGCAUAUGGAUUAUGAUGGCCAAGGUAGAGCUGAGAAACUUUCAAGAGUCAUCAUAACUCUCUUUGGAGUCGUUGGUCUCAUAUGGGGAUACGUCAUUCAACAAUUUUCUCAAACAAUUUACAUCCUUGGUGCAGGUUUCGUUAUGGCUGCUUUAGUGACAGUACCACCAUGGCCCAUGUAUCGUCGUAAACCAUUAGAUUGGCAAAAACCACAAGCCGAAGUUAACACCAAAUUAAAAAAGAAAAAAUAAAUGAUAUAUUUAUAUUUUUCAAAUAGAUAAAGUGUGUUAUCCAAGUUCUUGCUUGACCAAGUGCAAAGGAAGAUUUACAAUCAUUAUCUAUCAUCUUAUGGAAACCAGUACUGCAUAUUUUUAUAUGGCGAGAAGGAAGUAAUUCAACAAUAUAAGUUUUUACGGAUCUGUCAA